UGUCCCAGACCUGGGUGGAGUGGCACUGGUUGGCGUGUCCCCCUCAUAUCGGCCAGAUACAAGCACCCCCUUGUUUAUCCCAGCUUGGCAUUUGAUCUGUCCUUACACCUGGUUCAUGCCUGGGGUACCUGG
ensembl:snoRNA